rnacentral:rRNA from 1 species
GAUGAAUGCUGGCGGCGCGCCUAACACAUGCAAGUCGAGCGGAUCGUCCCUUCGGGGUACUCGAGCGGCGGACGGCUGAGUAACGCGUGGGAACAUGCCCCAAAGUGAGGAAUAACUGCCCGAAAGGGUAGCUAAUGCCGCAUAUGAUCUUCGGAUUAAAGGAUUUAUCCGCUUUGGGAGUGGCCCGCGUACGAUUAGGUAGUUGGUGAGGUAAAGGCUCACCAAGCCUACGAUCGUUAACUGGUCUGAGAGGAUGAUCAGUCAGACUGGAACGGAGACACGGUCCAGACUCCUACGGGAGGCAGCAGUGAGGAAUCUUCCACAAUGGGCGAAAGCCUGAUGGAGCGACGCCGCGUGCAGGAUGAAGGCCUUCGGGUUGUAAACUGCUUUUAUAAGUGAAGAAUAUGACGGUAACUUAUGAAUAAGCACCGGCUAACUACGUGCCAGCCGCCGCGGUA